GCAACCAAGUCUGCGACAAAUUGCCAAAAUUUUAUAUUCAGCUUGUUGUCAUUCUGCUCUUUUCCUUUCAAAAAUAACUCUAGUAAUAUUUUUGAAUACAAGUUUGAUAAUUAUAAGAUCAAACAAUUACCACGUCCAAAAUGUGAAAAGAAAGUACCUAAUGGCUGCCUGUAUUGCCGAAUGGCCAUGUUGGAAUUCCAAACCAACUUCAUGCAAUCAUAAUUCUAUCAUUUGUCACAAGGUACAUAUACCUAAUUUAGAUGAUCAAAAAAAUGAACAAAGAAAACUGCAAACCAUGCAAUGAAGGAUACGAGCAAUUUUAGAAGAGAAAACGAAAACCAAGAGAACGCAAAGUAAUCCCACAAGACAUCAAAGAAAACAACAAUCAAUUUAAGUUGCUGAUUUGAUCUG